GCCCCUCCUGCUCCCGGCUUUCAUGUGGAUCAAGGCUGGAGGAUGACAAGCUCCUGACUGAUAGAUACAUGGAGACUUCGCUGGUGAUUUAUUGGCUUUCUGCACCUGACGAGAACCACUAGGCCUAUCUGAGGAGGGAAAUAUAUGGGCUUUCCUGACUCCAAGUGGCAGCCCCGGGGCGAGCAUGUGAUGUCAAGCUGGGCAGAGGAAAGCGGAGCUGUGCACCGGCCUGUGUACUGUAAGCCGGCCCGGGUCGUAAAAGUGUCAGCACGCGAUAUAUUUCUUGCAGGGGAUCCUCUCUGGCUCUUGCCAGCGCCUCUCCCCCGUGGCUGGCAGCCGCCCUAGCCGGGCCUGCAAACAGCGGAUGCCCCAGGUCGCUAUCCCUCCGCCCUGCCCCGGAGCGCCGGGCCCUCACGUUCUCGCUCCAGCCUGGGGUCUCUCACGUGGCAUCUGGCCCUGGGGACGGUGCAGCGGAGGAGUUAAUUGCUGUCACUCCUGACUUCAGCGAAAGAGGUCGAUCGUGGGGUGAGAUAUUGAAGCUGGGGAUUGACCUGUGGACCAAGAGUUUGAUGGGGCAACUCAAUAGCAAACUCAAUGUUCCCAGAGAUGAACCAACUCAUUUCUCCUCCCUCUACCUCCAGGCUUCUUCCUCGGGGUUAGCAGGGGCCUGGAGUGGAUGUUUAGUCUACCGGUCAGACUCCAGGUCUUAUAUCUUGAAACUGUAAGUCCCUGAAUUCACAGACAAUUCAGAGUAAGGAUGGAGGCAAAGAAGAGGACCUUGGGUUUACUGUUCACGAGAUGACCUCAUAAAGGUGUUCAGUGAUGAAGAGGAGUGGCUGAAGAGGUAAGGAGAACACUCAAAGCAACAACAGCAAAACGUACAGUAUGAAGGGGGUAGUCAUAAGGUCAGUCCAUAACCCUGCCAGCAUCAUCCAGAUAGAAGUGGAUCUGCUAUCCCUCCCCACACCUGACUUCACUACCUGCACACCCACAAGCAGGGCAGCACUAGCCCCCAGUGCUCUUCUGUGCAUAUUAGAGUCUUCCCUGGAGGGCUCAGUACCUUGCUGGGACUCAUGGCAUGGGGAGCAGAACCCAGGCUGAAUUUCAGUCCCUACAAGGUUUUAAGUACAGGGAUCAGCCUGCACAACCGAAUGGGAGGCCCGGCCCUCAUCUGCCCUUCUGUAACUUGUCUUUCCCUGCCAGGCCUCCCUCGGAGCUCAUUGUUGAAAUCUGGCAUCCAGAGCUAUGGAUUCCCCGCUCUGCCAUUUACAAACUGUAUGAUUAGGGCUCAUCAGUUCAUCUCUCUGAGUUACUUUCUUUUCUGAAAUGGAGGUAGGGCUACUUCUCUCACAUGGCUUUAUGAGGGUGAAGUGGUUUCCAAUGAGCACUCAUCUGGAUAUUCUAGGCCCAUCCACUCACAUAGCUAAUGACACUCCUUCUUUACAAGAUGAAGGAUUAGGAGAUGAUUUUAAAUCUUUUAGCUGGAAGGGCCUUUAAGAGAUACCUGUGUCUGUCUUGGGCCUUAGAGUGAGUAAAGGGACAGCAGGUGGUCAGGCCCUGCCAACAGCAGGAUAUUUUCUGCAGGUGCCCAACAGCAGCCCUGGAGUUGCCUCAGAUCCUCCCACUGGAGGCUUCAUUGCUGUAUCUGCCAUUCCAUCCCUGGCAGGGAUAGGCCAAGGUCUUAGAUACCCUGGCACCCAACACUCCAUACAGGCUUGUCUCUGAGCAGACUCUCGGUGAAGGCUAUUGUGCUAGUCUGAGCAGAACGGGAGGUGCAGGGAUUGCAGCUGUUCCUUCACUGCAGUGUCAGUUUGGAAAUUUUCCCAGAAGACUUAGCUGGUGCCUCUUCUUUGAUAUUCAUGAGUGUGUGAACACAACGACCCUCCUCAUCUUUGUCGAACCCAUUCCUCUUGGACCACACCAAGUAUAGUCCAAAAAGAAGGUGAUUUAGGAGAAGUGUGAAGGCACCCUCAGUUCUGGCAAAUUCUUGGGUAUCCUGCAAUUCUCACUCAGCAGCAUCCCAACAAAACCAGAGAAAAGACCCGGGGCCGGGAGAUGAGCCAGGAAAAUAGCUUCAUGUUUGACUUGAGGGUACAGGCAUCUGCAGAAGCCAGCCUGGAAGACUCUUCAUGAGCCCAGCUGCAAGGGGCAUCCUAGAGCCAGUUCAUGAGCCCAACUUUACAGAGGCAUCAAGCUUCCCCUCCCCUAGAAAGGAAGGCUAUAGAGCAAGCAGAAUGUUUAAGACACAGGCUUUCAAGUGAGGCUGACUUGGAUUAGCGGAACUAAGGAUGACGUGGCCCUGUGCAAGGAACUUAAUAUCUCUGGGCUUCAUUCUUUAUCUGUUUACCUACCCCCAGGUCCUGAAAGUACCACAGAAAUAUCUGUUUUUAUUCAGAGGAUAAUAAAACAGAAUAUUUACAUAUUGCUUCAUAUUCCCCCAGGAUAUUUUUAGAUUACCACAAUAUCCUAAGAGUUUGUUUAUGCAUGCUUUAUAGACCUGUAUCUGUGGUUAAAAAAGAUACAUAAAUACUUUAAAAUUUUAUAAUACAAGAGUAUAAGUUACCUGAUUUUUUAUGUGUUCCGCAGAUGGCUGUCUAGAGUCAACACAAACCUACCCCAAAGUUUGACCUUUGCCUUAAGUCAGUAACUGAGGAGGGCCACGGUCCUGAGUUCAGUCCAGACCCCAGGAAGAUUCAGAGCCUGCAGUUGUCCUCUGGUUUCUAAAGUAUGUUAUUGGGCUAAAGAUUUCAAGACAUUUAUCCUUCUUUGCUUUCUAUCGCAGCCAUUAAAUGUUUUAGAUAUUUUCUGCCAGAAGGCAGGAAUCAUGAAGAUAACAAAUAUUAAAGACAAAACCAAAUAACUUUUAAUGAGAAGGUCAGUCCGUGGUUUGAGUCUUUGGAAAGAAAUCAAGAACUCUGACUAUACUUGCUAUUUGACCAUUGAUUCUCUAGUGGAAAUGGGCAAAUCUUUUAUACCAGGGCAAAUUUUUCAGUAACGGGCCAGACAGCAAAUAUUUUAGGAAUUGUGGGCCAUACAGUCUCUCUCCCAACUACUUAACUCUUCAGCAUAGCAUAAAAGCAGCCAUAAACAAUACUACAACAAGUAUGGCUGCAUUCCAAUAAAACUUUAUUUACAAAAAUAGGCAGCACGCCAGAUUUGGCCCACAAGCUAUAGCUUUCUGACCCCUGCUUUGCCAAACUCAAUAACAAACAGAGAGGGAGACUCUUUUAAAAAAAUUAUAUUCAUUUGGGAGUAGCAUUGCAAUGGGAAUACGUGUGCCAUAGCAAAUUAUGAGCGUAUUCAAAGAGAUUGGGGCAAGGGGAAGUUUAUAAAGGCAAAACGAAGAGGAUUACAAUUGUUCAAAUCAAUUAUCCUUGGCUACAAGGGUGGCACAAGUCCAAGCUUGAACAGGCAGUUGCUAGACAGACAUCCUUACAGAAGUAUUUUCUGUGUAAGGUUGCAGUGGUCUUUUUGCAAAGCUAUAGUAAAUCACAGGGGUCAGUACAACCGUAGUGCAAUGGAUAAGCCUUGCCCUCGGAAAAUCUUCGUGAUCAUGGUAUCUCCCCUGCCAAAUAAAUAUUGUGACAGUUCUUAUCAGGCAUUCAUGUGUAAGAACUCUCCCUUGAUGGCCUUCCCUGGCUCCAUUUGCCAGGGUUUUAACAUAAAUUACUCCAUUUUGAUUCGGACAACUUUCAUAACUGCUUACCAUCUGUGCCUCUGUGUAUAAAAGUGGACAUACUAAAAUUUUUCCUUAGGGCUACAACUAAACAUCCAGCCUAGCCCUUAGCCAGCACCAAGGAAGAGGCCUGGGGGAUAGAGGAACAAAUAAUGAGACCAAGUCAGGCCAUCCCCCAUGGGGUGAGGCCUGCAGGUAGGUGGGCCCAGUGUGGUGUACCUCUAGCACAGUGCCUGGCACAAAAUUGCAGUUUAUUUUCUGAAUAAAUAACUCUUGGAUCAAUUGGUUGCUCUCUGGGAAUGUGACUUUGCUGUUGAGUUGUGCAGAGUACUCUCUGUCUCCAAGCCAAUCCCAGCUUCAGUAUCUCACCCCACAAUCCACAUUUCCCAGUGUCUGGAGUAACAACAAUGACCUGGGGCUGGGCUCUCAGCAAGUCAAACCCUGCCUCAACAAACCCAAACUGCUUUGGGGACCAAUGUGAUGCAAAUGUGUACUGAAUCCCCUGAAUUCCCCCUGGUGAUCCUGUCCUGUAACAGGCCCUCCCCAUCCCCUCAGGCCAGUGCAUUCAGGAAAUCAGUGACCACAGGAUGGUUUCUCAGCUGGAGGGAAGGUCAGCCUGCAUCUGAGCAUCUUAGAACAUGUUAUUUUGUUCCCACUGGUCAAUCCCGUCCAAGCUGUACACAUAGUGCCUAAGCCACGUUUGUUACUGCAGGCCUGUCUUCGGAAAGGUCACUGAACAGAAGGAGGAGGCACCUUACUCUCUUUUGUUACGUCUUCACCACUUUUGUCUAAAGGGAAGUUUAGCUGGAGGGCUGAGCACGCAGACAGGUUUCUGACUGUGCCACAUAGAUCCCACAUUGCUUCUCUGCCAUGAUUUAUCAUCUGUGACUUGACAUGUUCUGCACACACGGGCAUGUUGUACACAUUGAGACAUGCUUCCUGCAUUCAAAGAUUUUCCCAUAUUGAGGGCAUUUUCCUGGUGCAGAAUUGAAGACUGAAUUGAGGCAUUCAGAUUGACCUCAACAUCUACGGGUCUGGAGGAGGUUUGGGACGUUUCCUUUUCUUCUCUUCAGGGGCCCACUCCUGUUGUAAAGAGCAGCAGCAUUUAUAAUGAGGGCCCAGGAAAUGCGGGGGAGAGGGGAGAGCCUGCUAUCUCUGCAGUGGGUGACUGUUGUUUCCCUGAUCAACAAUGUAUCAUAUCCCAGCCUAAGCCUGCCUUUCUCCUUCCCCCUCCACAUGGGGAGGGGCCGUGGGCUCAGAGCUCACCUGGAAUGCCUCUGGUUGCUGAAGGGCUGGAUGGAGACUCUGAGACAACCUGAUGGAUCAUCUCAUAAACAGAGCCUGCAGGAAGGAAAAGAAAAUUAUGCCAGCAUAAUGCACUUACGAGAAAUAGAUACGUGCGGUGCAGGGAGAAAUGCUUUGAUAUUAAAAUUUUUGUAACUUAAAAAGGCAUGAAAAAUGAUACCGACCACUAACUAAUCAACAUUCCUUUGCGAAUACAGCUUCAGUUCCUAACCAAAAACACAUCCCUGCUAUUGUCUUGUCUGGAUCCAGAUGCAAACAUGAUUAAUUAAGUUUCUGGUGAGGAGUGGGACGAGGGCAGUGGGAACUGAUGGCUUGCUGAGGAUCCUUUUCAUAUACAGGCCUGGGGAGAAUCCCUUAGUCUGGGUGCCUAUUUCCCUCCACAUGUCAGGGCUUACCCCGUGCACUGACAGCCACGGGGGCAGUGAGUAGGCUGCAGCCAGACCCAUGGAGUGAGGCAGUGAGAGGCUGAAAGGAGAGGCUCUACAGACAGUACAGGGAGGCUCUUGGUAUCUCCCAUUGCCACUGCACAGCACAGCACGGCAGAGUAGCAAACGCAUAUGCCAUGUCUUGUUGGGAGACCUGGGCCCUGCUCCAGACUGCUACCAAGUAGUUUGGGACCUUGGAUGAGCUGCCUCAAUUUCUCCAUUUGUGAAAUUGGGAGGUGACAGCGUGCUGGCAGCCCUCGCAGCCCUCGCUCUCGGCCUUGGUGCCUGCCUACUCUGGCCGCCCUUGAGGAGCCCUUCGGCCCACGGCUGCACUGUGGGAGCCCCUUUCUGGGCUGGCCAAGGCUGGAGCCAGCUCCCUCAGCUUGCCGGGAGGUGUGGAGGGAGAAGCGCGGGCAGGAACCAGGGCUGCUCAUGGGGCUUGCCGGCCAGCGCGAGUUCUGGGUGGGCAUGGGCUCAGUGCCUGCGCACUCUGAGCGGCCGGCAGGCCUGCGAACCCCGGGCAGUGAGGGGCUUAGCUCCUGGGCCAGCAGCUGCUGUGCUCAAUUUCUCGCCGGGCCUUAGCUGCCUCCCCGCGGGGCAGGGCUCGGGACCUGCAGCCCACCAUGCCUGAGCCUCCUCCCGCCGUGGGCUCCUGUGUGGCUGGAGCCUCCCCGAGGAGCACCGCCCCCUGCUCCACCGCUCCCAGUCCCUCAACCACCCAAGGGCUGAGGAGUGCGGGCGCAUGGCACGGGACUGGCAGGCAGCUCCACCUGCGGCACCGGUACCGGAUCCACUGGGUGAAGCCAGCUGGGCUCCUGAGUCUGGUGGGGACUUGGAGAACCUUGGUGUAGACACUCUGUAUCUAGCUAAUCUAGUGGGGAUGUGGAGAACUUUUGUGUCUAGCUAAGGGAUUGUAAAUACACCAGUCGGCACUCUGUAUCUAGCUCAAGGUUUGUAAACACACCAAUCAGCACCCUGUGUCUAGCUCAGGGUUUGUGAAUGCACCAAUGGACACUCUGUAUCUGGCUACUCUGAUGGGGACUAGGAGAACCUUUGUGUCUAGCUCAGGGAUUGUAAACGCACCAAUCAGCACCCUGUCAAAACGGACCAUUCAGCUCUCUGUAAAACAGACCAAUCGGCUCUCUGUAAAAUGGACCAAUCAGCAGGAUGUGGGUGGGGCCAGAUAAGAGAAUAAAAGCAGGCUGCCCCAGCCAGCAGGCACAACCCUCUCGCCUCACCUGCCGCAGUGUGGAAGUUUUGUUCUUUGGCUCUUUGCAAAAAAUGUUGCUGCUGUUCACUCAUUGGGUCUACACUACCUUUAUGAGCUGUAACACUCACUGGGAAGGUCUGCAGCUUCACUCCUGAAGCCAGCGAGACCACGAACCCACCGGGAGGAACAAACAAUUCCAGACGCGCCGCCUUAAGAGCUGUAGCAGUCACGGCCGGGCACGGUGGCUCACGCCUGUAAUCCCAGCACUUUGGGAGGCCGAGACGGGCGGAUCACGAGGUCAGGAGAUCGAGACCAUCCUGGCUAACACGGUGAAACCCCGUCUCUACUAAAAAUACAAAAAAAAUUAGCUGGGCAUGGUGGCGCACGCCUGUAGUCCCAGCUACACGGGAGGCUGAGGCAGGAGAAUGGCGUGAACCCGGGAGGCGGAGCUUGCAGUGAGUCGAGAUCGCGCCACUGCACUUCAGCCUGGGCGACAGAGCGAAACUCCGUCUCAAAAAAAAAAAAAAAAAAGAGCUGUAGCAGUCACAGCAAAGGUAUGCAGCUUCACUCCUGAGUCAGCGAGACCAGGAACCCACCACAAGGAAGAAACUCCGAACACAUCCGAACAUCAGAAGGAACAAAUUCUGGACACGCUGCCUUUAAGAACUGUAACACUCAGCGCGAGGGUCCCCUGCUUCAUUCUUGAAGUCAGUGAGACCAAGAACCCACCAAUUCCAGACACAAAAGGAGAGGUUGGAUUAAAUGUUCCUCAAAGUCUUCCAUUUCUGGCUUUUUAUUCCAGUGCCCAAAGUCCUUCACACAAAGCA
rnacentral:lncRNA from 10 species